UACGGGGGGGGCAAGCGUUGUUCGGAAUUACUGGGCGUAAAGGGCUCGUAGGCGGCCAACUAAGUCAGACGUGAAAUCCCUCAGCUUAACUGGGGAACUGCGUCUGAUACUGGUUGGCUUGAGUGCAGGAGAGGAAUGCGGAAUUCCAGGUGUAGCGGUGAAAUGCGUAGAUAUCUGGAGGAACACCGGUGGCGAAGGCGGCAUUCUGGACUGCAACUGACACUGAAAGACGAAAGCCAGGGGAGCAAACGGG
rnacentral:rRNA from 1 species